UUGUUAAGUAAAGCUCUAUGCCCAAAGUGGGGCUCAGACUCACAACCCUGAAAUUAAGAGUCACAUGCUCCACCAUCUGAGCCAG
rnacentral:snoRNA from 1 species